GGAAAUAAAUGCCCGAGAGACUGUGUUGCGGCCAUUCGCUGUUGGGAAUGGUGAAUCUUUGAUCCUCCCCCUUGAGGUUGAGGCUGAUGCUUAGGAUAAUGUGUGAUUAAUUAACAAGUGACCAGAUAUCUUUUGUUUGUAUGUGUUUUGUGUGUGUGUGUGUGUGUGUGUGUGUGUGUGUGUGUGUGUGUGUGUGUAUGUUUGUGUUUAUACCCAUGUGUGUCAGUAUGAAAGCGAGAGAGAGUUAGAAAAUACGGGGUUACACAGUGGGAUCGAGAGGAGCAAAGGUGUGAGAGGCUUAGAGGGUCAAGGAGAGUCAAAGUUAUUCUAAAACUUCGUAGGUUUGAUUGGGCUUUUGUUUGAAGUGUCGUAUUGUUUCCAUCCUUGUGAAAAUGUCCUUUGGUUGAAUGGGAGAAGCAGCCUGUACAUGGGAGAGGAAAGCCCCAGGUUCAUACUUAGGCUCUCUGAGUGAACCUCUUCUCUUUUAAUUUGGUAAUCCCAUGUCAACCCCCUCCUUCCCUGCUCGCUCCCAAGCUGACUCCCCACCGCCACCGCCACCACCAUGCACCCUCCUCUCUGUGUUACCUCUCUAUUUGCUAAUGUGUGUUAAGUUUGGACACAGGAAAAGCCUCUUCUGUGGGUUCAUCGGGUCCUUUUCAGGUGGUCAGGGAUUAGAAGUGGUUGAUAUAAACUCAGGCCGCAUUAACUGCAUUUCCUCUGCGUUUUCCUGCAGGCCAGCUAGUGUUGGGGCCCGUGGGUGGGUGAGUAUCUUUUCGUACACGAAGCCUAACGCAAUUGUGCGCAUGAAAGGCCACCAGCAGAGAAGCUGCCUCGAAGAGCACUGAGGAGCAAGAUGGGCGCGGUGGGUGUCUUCUGCAGGAGUUGGAGGAAAUGGAAUCAGCAAGAGUUUGUGUGGUAAAAAGUAAACAAACCUGUCAGAAGUGGGAUUCGAACCCACGCCUCCAGAGGAGACUGCGACCUUAACGCAGCGCCUUAGACCGCUCGGCCAUCCUGACAGUACAAGCACUCCUGUGUUUGCUCACCUCCCUGAUAUGGGCAUUCCAUGCCUGUUCCUUCGUGGGUGUGAUGGGGCGCCUAGGCUCAUGGCAGUCUAUUAUGGCUUUCCUUCUUGUUUUAAAUAUCUGCUCCAAUAUCCUAUUUCACUGUAAAGGUUUAUGUUUGUUGGUAUGAGUCAGUGACAGUACCUGCAUACCAGACUCAGCAUCAUAAGAGAAAUAAAAUAGAUAAUAAUAUACACCCCUAAAUCUGCUGUCUGAUAAACUUUUUAAAAAAUA